rnacentral:rRNA from 1 species
GAUGAACGCUGGCGGCGUGCUUAAUACAUGCAAGUCGAACGGACAGGCCCUGCUCUUGUGCGGUGCUCGUGUGGCGCACAGGUGAGUAACACGUGAGUAAACUCCCCUUGACUUUGGGAUAACUUCAGGAAACUGCGGAUCUUACAGGAUAGGAGCUCUUGCUGCAUGGUGGGGGAUGGUAAGAUUCGGCGGUUUGGGAUGGACUCGCGGCUUCUCAGCUUGUUGGUGAGGUAGUGGCUGACCAAGUCUUUGACGGCUAGCCGGCCUGAGAGGGGGACCGGCCACAUGGCUACUGAGGUACGGCCCAGACGGCUACGUGAGGCAGCAGUGGGGAACAUUGCACAACGAGGGGAAGCCUGAUGCAGCAACGCCGCGUGCGUGAUGACGUGCUUCUAGUUGUGAACCGAUGUCGCCUUUGACGAGGCGUGAGUGACGGUAACGAGUAAAGAAGCACCGGCUAACUACGUG